rnacentral:tRNA from 1 species
AUUUUUCUAGUACAACAGAGAGUAUAAGUGGCUUCCAACCACCCGGUCUUGGUUAAAGCCCAAGGAAAAAUA